rnacentral:rRNA from 1 species
AUUGAACGCUGGCGGCAGGCCUAACACAUGCAAGUCGAGCGGAUGACGGGAGCUUGCUCCUUGAUUCAGCGGCGGACGGGUGAGUAAUGCCUAGGAAUCUGCCUGGUAGUGGGGGACAACGUUUCGAAAGGAACGCUAAUACCGCAUACGUCCUACGGGAGAAAGCAGGGGACCUUCGGGCCUUGCGCUAUCAGAUGAGCCUAGGUCGGAUUAGCUAGUAGGUGAGGUAAUGGCUCACCUAGGCGACGAUCCGUAACUGGUCUGAGAGGAUGAGCAGUCACACUGGAACUGAGACACGGUCCAGACUCCUACGGGAGGCAGCAGUGGGGAAUAUUGGACAAUGGGCGAAAGCCUGAUCCAGCCAUGCCGCGUGUGUGAAGAAGGUCUUCGGAUUGUAAAGCACUUUAAGUUGGGAGGAAGGGCAGUAAGCUAAUAUCUUGCUGUUUUGACGUUACCGACAGAAUAAGCACCGGCUAACUCUGUGCCAGCCGCCGCAGUAAAAC